CUUUCUAGUCCCAUAACCUCCCAGUUUACCGUUCGUUUCUGCCACCCAACCUGGAGACAGCAGUUGUGAAAUCUUCCCAGGCAUGUCACUUGGCGGGUCGCCAUCAGGACUACUAGGACAGACCUGACCAAAAGUCUCACUCACCAAGCUUCUCCGACCACCCCGGGGUGUCCACACUCGGUUCCUCCCAUGACAGCAGCUCCUUGUUCAGAGAGCUCUCCGUAUCACCUUGGAAAAAGAUGAAAAACGCAGUGGAAAAAUGAACAAGGGAUCCGAGUGUCAUCGUAAACACUCAAACCUGUUCAACUUCACUUAGAAUUAGAGACUUGGAAAUCCCUGCCCAUGAAGAACCCAUCUUAAUGGCAAGGAUCACAAGUUUGGCCACAUGCCUUACAAAAUGUUUCUAUGUAUUCGAGACAGAUGGGCUUCAAUCUAGAUCUCAGCAUCCUGCCUCAGCAUCCUAGGGUUCAAGGAUAAUUGUGCACCACCACGCCCUGUUUCUGUCACAAUUCUGAAAGAAGUUCUGCAAAACACAAAUGUGUGUCCCACCUCAGCUCCAAGCAACACCCGAGGCCUGGAUGGUAACACCCAUAUCACCAACCAAAGACCUGCCACUGCCAACCCAGAUGCUCUGAGGGGCCUUUGUCUGGAAGCCAUCCCCACUAGCUAUUGUAUUAGCUCAGAUUUGGAUCCCAUCAUUAAACUUUACUCUUUGACUUCAUAAAGAUUCUCUUCCCUAUCCGCCUGACUAGUUACAAAAGUCAACAAUCUCUACUACAGGUCUCAAAAGGAGGAUUAAUAGUUGCUUGAUGAAGCAAGAAAGCAAAUGUGGUUGGCCAUAUGUUGCCAAGAAAAGGAAGAAUGUGUCUCGUUUUCAAAGAAGAGGAAGAGGAGGAAGAGAA
ensembl:lincRNA 4930568A12Rik RIKEN cDNA 4930568A12 gene